ensembl:lncRNA
AUACUGUAAUCUGUUCCACAGUGCACUGCUCUUCUAGUGCUCCGUGGCUAGAGGUUUUAUUUUUAGGCAGCAAAUGUCAUUUAUUCAUGUUCAAGUCCUGCAGGGAAAAUGAGAGACUCUAUUUGCUCAGCUGGAGGGGCACGGGUGGGCUGUGCUGCUCCUGUGUAGACCAGCCAUGGAGUAACAGAGCACUGAAGAACCUCUCUUAGCUUUGUACCACAGCUAUAGUUUUGAUCGUGUGCAUAAAUAUUCUGCAGAGUGUUUGCCUUAAUUUAGACAUUUUGAUUGAUACUUUGAACUGACAAAGAACAGAUCAAUGCAAAUCAGGACAAAAGCUUGUGGGACUACUUAAGGAGAAUAUCCUUGAAGGUAACGGAGAUUACAGGUAAAUACUUCAAAGGAAUUAAGGCAUUAUCCUCCAAGAAGCUGACAAGACCAGCUGCCCAGCUGAACUGCCUUUAUGCCAACAUAUGCAGCUUGGGAAACAAACAGGAGGAGUUGGAAACCACUGUGCCACUGGAAAACCAUGAUGUAGUUGUCACCACUGAGACCUGUGCUGCUGAUCAUCAAGUUUAACAACAGUAAUUCUGUCUCUCUGUAAGACUACCAGCAAGUACAAGGCGAUUUGCUAGCUCUGGUUGAUGUGAAGUUUAAAGCAACAAAACGCUGAUGCUUCAAAAUAAUCUUACAAAAUAAUAUCUCGCUGUGGGUGCAGAAGUAAGGAACUGAUACCUUGCAACUGUCAAGCUGUUACUUCAUUCUCAUUUUUUUUCGAGAUUAGUCUUGCUUUUGAGGAGUGAUUUUUGAGAUCUCUGCGGUCUUGGGCGCCACUUUGGUCUGUGACCCGCUGAUGUGCUUGGGAUGUUAUUUUCAGACGUCUUUCAGUUGCAUUUUAACCUUGGAAUUUACAGUGCUCCAUAAUUUAAUGUAUCCUAUGUUGACUGGAUUGAUAGAGACUGUAAAAUAGAUGUGACCUGGAAAAUGAGUCAUUUCUGGCAUGAGCACAAAGGCUGAGUUACUGGGAUCAUUCACAGUGACAUAGGUACCAGGGAUCCUGCGUGUCAAGCAAGGUGAACAAAGCCUGUCAAGGCACUUGCUGAGUGGGGUAACUAUACAUAGGUCCUGUUGGACAAAGGGCUACAGAUGGCUGAGCAGAAGUCCUGAAAACAACUGUCUCCAUCAUCUUGGCUGCCCAGAAUCGCUACAGGUAGCACUGCUGCACAUAGAGUUGUAUGAGUGCCCCAGAUGAACAGUCCUUUAAGAAUGAAAAACCAAAACCACACCAGAGAUCCAGGAAGUUCUGACCUUUGGGAUGAGGGGAGAGAUUGGAGAAAAUUAAUUAAGAAGAGUAUGACAAGAUAUAUUUCUUCCCUAAUGGAAUUUUUAUUAAAAAUGUGAUUCAAGUUGGUGUAUAUUUGGAUUUCAUGUUUAUGUUAUUUACAAAUUAGUUCCCAAUUGGAGUUAGCAUACAAAUUGAACAGGCUAAAUAAUUUGAGUUAGUCUGACUCCUGCUACCCCAUGCAACAUGCACUGUAGUUCCUAGAUCUUGAUACCUAUGUAUCAUCCGUUCAUUCCUAAUUUCAUCUCAGUAAGGACAAAAUCUGGAAGCUUAUACAUCCACUGCUCAAUUUUAUUUCUGCUUCCUCAUUCUAACUCUGUGUUACGUAUUUGUGGUCUUGAGAUGGAAGGGCGUUUAUUAAUUGCUUCAUUUGUUCUUUGGUCCCAUGGUUCUCAGCUCAGGGAGGACUUCAGUGUGCCCUUUCCUCAGAGGGAUUCCUAUAGGGAUAGUGGUCAGUAAAGAUGAUGGUUUUUUUAUUUUGUUUCUUGUGAUAGUCGGAGCUGGAUUUGUUGCUGUUUCUUUAACAUGUUUGAAAUACAUUUUGAAUCUGACUUGUGUGCUGGUGGGAGAAAGAAGCAGCAGCAGUCUAGGCUGCUGUUAUUAAUGCCAUUCCUAACACCACUAUGGCAUUGUGUAUGUGUUUUAGGCUUUAAUUGAUGUAGUUGUUUAUAUUUUCCCCAGAAUUUCUUAUGGGAAUGCAAUCCUGGAGUACAGCAGGCUUACUCUGUUAGAGUGCUGGAUGACAACUUUGAUUCUGUGAAUUUCCAAACACCUGAUAAACCUAAUGACACAUAGAAGACUUGAUGAACCUCAGGGUCUAUGUGGAUGCUUUUAUCCUAAACCCCCCAAAAAAGCACCCUACUGUCAGAUCUAAAACAUCAAAUGCUUACCUCGUUUAGCAGCUUGGAUUCUGAUGAGCAUGCUGAUCUGAACAGAAGCUUGAUACCAGUCUUGACCUAUGGGUCAGAACAGAGACAAUCAGGUGGCUGCAGAUAGUGUCAGAGAACUUAACGGAUUUAUGACUUCUGUUUAAUGUCCUUCUUUUAAAUCUCCAUUAAAAAUUCACUGAAUUGUUGGAGCAUAUUGACUUCAGUAGGACAGAAGUCAAGGUAACACUGGACAGUUUGCAAAGCUCAAAAAUAAUUCUGUAACUAUAGGCUGUUAUUUCUAUUAAAGGAAAUUCCUUUGUUUGCUUGAGUUUUUGAUUACCAGUGAUUACAAUAAUAUUAUAAAACAGUAGUUUAUAAAUGCACAAUCACUUCUUCCUUUUCACGAUGGAUUUUCCUUAUGAUGUUACCGUAAUCUGUAGUUAUCAGAUCAGUAUGAGGAGCAAAUGUUUUCUCAUAGAUGCCAGAAUAUUGAAACAAAACUCAAGUCUGAUGAAUUUGUCUUUAGAUUGUUAGCAUCUCUACUCAGAAGUAUUGAACAGCAGGUCUUAUUCACAGAUAGUUAACUGGACUGUUUUAAAGGGUUUUUAGAAAUGUUCUAUGCUCACUGGAUGUUCCUGUCCCCAAACAUUAUUAAGAGGCUCUUGAAAGGUAGACAACUACACUAUAUGGAUGAUACCAAUGUGUAAAACCAAGAUGACUGGAUUUGUGUUGUAUUCCAGGGCAUGGGUAAAGUGCAAACAAAGACAACUUAUCUCACUGCAAUCAAUUUGUUUUUGACAAAAAUGUUCUGGAUUAUUUAAUCUAUAUUCUAUAGCCUGUAAUACAUAAAUACAGCUAAUAUUUUGCUAAAUGCUGUUCCAGGUCCUAAGAGAAAAUGAUCACAUAAUCAAUAUAAACGUAACUGACUUUAUCUUUUAAACUUGCCAGGACAGUUUUUAAGAAAUGUGAAAGAAGCUUUUUGUUUUAUUUUAUUUUACUUUAUUUUUGUAAGUGAGGUGGUAUUAACUAGUUAGUCACUGCAAGACAAUUUUUAGUUUUGUUUUCCACCAACUAAUUUCCAUUCAAAGAUGCUCUGGGCUUAUAUGGCACUUUGAAAACAGAUUUUCUAAGACCUCACAUGUAGUGAAUGAUGUUUCCUAAGCUUUUUUAUGCAAGUAUCGUUGGCUGAAAAAAAUUCCACCCGUUACCAGGAAACCCAUAGUUAAUUGGACUCCUCUAUAUGUGAAAAUUGAGCAAGAACUGCGAAUUUUUGCCUAUCUGGAAUACAAACAACAUGAAAUGAAUCAGAUAUUUUCCAUAUGAUCACCAGAUUUGAACUUGCACCCUAGAAAGGCUCAUUUCAGGAGAAGUCAGGAAGUCGCUUAGCUGGGUAUUUCAAGCUAUGGACUUCUGUAAGUAUUUGAAUAAGGGCUUUUGAUAAGAGUGACCCUGAUAAUCAUGAUUUAAAUAAGCUCUGCUGUGCCUGCACACUUACUCAACUUAGGGAACAAAGAUUCAGUUUUAAAAUAAACUUAUGAAAGGUUUGUAUUUUCCUCAUGCAAUAUAUUAAAUUCCUUCCAUCAGAGAAUGAGAAACAUUUUAAACUAUUGUUGAAGAGUUUGUCAGGGUCUGCUGGAUUUUUCCUUCUCUUUCCAUCCUGGUCAGGUUUAAAAUAUAUUAGGUUGUAGAUCUCUGUAUUUUCUCUUUCAAGCAUACAGAUUAUACAGCUUGCCAGUUCUGACUACUCUCCUGUUUAAUAUUUGAUCAGUGUGGAAAGGCUUUAGUUUGAAGGGAGCGUAUGAGCACUAAGGACUUUGAUUUUUUUUUUUUUGUCUUGCUGAAAUUUGGUUGUCUCCUAGCAUUGCUCUUAAAGCUAUGAAACUGCUUCUGUUUCACACUAGCGUAUGCUGUGCUGUCUCUUAAAAGCUUUAUGUCAGUAUUCCCUAAUCUUUUUUUUAACUGUUCGUAAUUACCUGUAUGUUAUUAUCCAGAAUUGCAGACCAUCCUGUCAAAACUCACUUUGCAUGUUCUAAAAAAAAGUUUACCUGUUUAAAAUUAAAUCUAACUAAAAUGAUGAUGUUGUUUAAAAAAAGUCCUUAUUUAGGCCAUGCCUCUAGCCUAAAGAACAAACAAACAAAAAAGCAACCAGUUUUUGCUACUCUAUAAUGAAUUAAUUUAAAGUGUUAAUUUAAAAAAAGCAAAAAAAAAAACGAAAGCAAAAGCCAUGUUGUGGCUCUGGAUCUGAUGAUUUUUUUUUAAUCUGGUACAGCUUAUUCCCGUAACAAAACUCCAAGUACUUAAAGAAUUCAUAAGCACCUUUUGAAGUGCUGUACCUUCAUGUGUGCCAGGCACAAUAGCUUCAGAAAAAAAAACUAGUCACAGUAACUCAGUAAUGACACUGGUGUGUCUGUUCAGUAUUAGUUAUUCUGUGCUGCUGUAGGCUGUAGGAAAACUACACGGGUGUUCACAAAAUGCAAGGCAAGUAAUUGAGGAGAACUAAGUGAUCUGAGAGCACAGGUUCAAGUCUAUGCAAAAUGAGAUCCUAGCAAUAACUGUGUGUGGGUUUUUUGGAUUAAGUUUUUUAUACUUGUAUCAUAUCUUCACUGAACAAAUUUUCAACCCUUGUAAGUCAGAUUAUCUAUUUCUUAUUUUCCUUAUUGGCACUUGAAAACCUGCUCUUUAUAACUCACUCCCAUAUCAGGAAAAAAAUGUGAAAAUACCAGGAAAAAAAAGUCAGGAAAAAAAAGUUCAUUAAUGCAUAUCUAGAAUUCAGACAGCAAAGACAGUCCUAGGCUCAGAAAGCACACCUUGAGGAAUGGAACUUUAUAACUCCUCACAUUAUCUAAUUCUAAAUACAUAGCAGGAUCCGAUUUAUAAGCCAAUUAGCAUAGAAGUUAAGCAAAUCAGAACUGGCUAAAGGGAGGACAGAUGUGCUGAACAUUUUUUUUUUUUUACAUCUGUCCAUUCCAAAUGCAACUAACUGAUAUACAAAGCUAUCCCAUGACUAUGAAGAUGGUAAGCUCUGGCAUUAAAAGGAGGUAUGUUACUAUACAAGUGGAAUGUAUCAAAUAUACCAGAUGUUGAUUGCAGUGAAUCCUCUUGCUCAGUUGCUGUUGAGGAAUACCAUAUGAUAACUGAUGGUUAUCAGUGUGCGCUCCCUAGGCUCUCUUUGCAACGUGAGAGACCACAAGUAAAGUGUGUCUCAAAAUGCAAUGUAUGAUUUUCCUUGUAAUGUCUAGUGCACUUACAUUAGGGGAUCUUGUGGCUACCAGCACAUCUGGCUCUACAAAAACACUAUUUAAACCUUUCAAACUAAGAAGAUAUCAUGGAGCAUUGAGAAACGCAUCAAGAAAUAAACUGCAGUGUUUAAUCACGUGGGCAUCACUGUGCAUGUAGCUGAUCUGUUGGAGUUUAGUGGGAUACUCUCAUGAAUAAAGGUUUCUGGAACUGAUCUGUGUUUUUCUUGCACUUUCUUGCUGAAACACAGAGGUACUUUUAUUAAUUGAGAUGAAUUAUUCUGUUAUUUUCCAUAGACAGUUUCUGAAGGCAAUUGAAACAUUAUUUUCUGAGGUAUUUGUCUUGCCGUAUAGAAGGUGUUUCAUCACUGUCAGAAAAGCUCCCUAUGUAGUUCCCAAUGAAGCCUCACAAACAUUUAAAUCCCAUUAGUAGCUCCCCUACUGGAGGGGAAGUUGAUUUAAUUGGGAGUCAAGACAAUAUUAAGCCUCAGUUAAAAAGAAAACAAUAAUCUACAAUUUUUUAUAUUAUUAUUUUAUAAAUCAACUCUGGACCUGGGUGUGACUAACAGGAAAAUCUGUCUACAGCACUACAAGGAAUAAUUAAGCCAUAAAUUUCAUCUUUGUUUGCCAGAUAAGAAAUGAUAUUUGUUACCAUGGGCUCUCCCCUCCCAACUUUAUCUGUCCAGACAAACAUAAUUAAGUAAUGUCUGAUUUGUUAGCAUUUUAUUAGAUGCGUUUGCAACAGCAUUAAGAAUAAAAAUAAAAUUCACAACAAAUAUUAUAGGUAUUGGGAUUUUCAGCAGUGGAAAAUGUGACUUUUCUCAAAUCAGAUGGGCUGGAAACACAUAUUCCUACAAGUGAACUACUCCUCUGUGCAGAAGAGCAAUUGAGAAACUUCAUCUUGGUUGAUUUACGUACACUAAUUGCUAGUUCCAGUUGCUAGUUCCUACUAAGCACUGAGUUCACCUGCUCGAUGAAUUUCAUAAAUUAAUAUUUUCAGAUAGCAAGUAUUGACAAAUAGCAGGAAACAGUAAAUUCACACUUGAUUUUAGUGAUAAAACAGGAUUACUCUUUCAUUUAGGAAUCUGUUUGCUGCUGUCAAAAUUGGCAAGGUUUUGUAGGUGUAUAUUAUGUAAAUAUAUGUCUGUGUACAUAUUUAUAUAAUGGUAAAAGUUUAAUGCAGAUAAGGAUGGAAAUAUUAAUUUUUUUCUGUUCUUUCACAAGUCAUGUGAUCAGGAUGUCUCUAAAGUGACUCACUUAUCUGGAUGGGAAAUAAUUAUGUUUAUAUUUUGCUGCUGAAACUUUACAGCGGAUUGAAUUCUCCAUAUACAGGACCUACAGGAAUAAUCCAUAUUUAUGGCCAAUGCAGUUCAAAGGAAAAUCUGAGCUGGCAUUUGUAAAAUUAUUUGCAGCUGAACUUCCCCAAAAACCCAUUUCACAGUUUAGUUCACUAGCAUAUGUCUCAUCUGUAUCUUAAUCAGUGCACAGCUGACAAGGCAGAGGACAAUAUUAUAGGCAUCGAAUGCCUUGCCAGCCUUUGGCAGAGGGAAGCCACAGACUUCAGAGGCAAUGCUCAGACAUAGCACAACUGAAGUAGCCUGUACAGGCUUUGCAGCAGCGUGUGGGUGUGCUUUUGCUUUCUCUCAGGUUUGGUAAAAAUCUGACGUCUAAAAGAGACAAUCCUGGAAAUCUGAGAUCUAACUCCUUGCAAGUUUCAAGAAUUGUAGAAUUCCAUAUUCUACCUCAAUGACAGUGUUGAGGGAUUGUUUUGGGAGCAUCAAAGUCUCUCAGUUUUAGACACUUCCUUAUCUGAGUUCUGAAGAUAACAAUUUUCUUUUGUUACAGUGCUGCUUGUCCUUUAAAACAUCCUAAUACAACCCACCCACGGCCCUGAAGAAGACACUACAACAAACCAACCCUCAUAGUGUCUAUCCUUACUUUUAAGGAAUACUUGAUUCUGUACAUAUAUAUUUUAAUUUUAUAGAAUUUUUUUUUAAACAAAAAGGUUAUUAGUUACCAGCUUGAAAAGUAAUUAACUCCAAAAAGUAAUGGAAGGGUGUACACUGGUCUGAAGUCUGAAAACACUGAUGCAAAGAUUCUGGAUUUCCUCCCCCUUUCACAGGAAAGUACAAUUUCAAAGGUCUUAAAUGACUUCAGCAGAGAGGAUGAAGGCAUACUGCUCAAUUCUGGGUUGCGAUUGUCCUUUCAUCACUCAAAAUCACUUCAUUUUUGUUUUGUCACUGCCUUUACUGUAGCCUAAGUUGCUUACAAUGGAAAUAUCUGAGAACUUCCAAGUUAAAGCUAUCAGAACCAAGUUCCACAUUCAUUGUUCUGGCUGAAAAUAGAUAAGAUUUGAUUCUUCUAAAGCUUCAUUUGAGAUUUGCUUAAAGCCACUGAUAACUCUCCAAGCAAAAAUUAUAACAACAGAAUUUAUCAAGUGUGAUAAUUAAAAUAAAUGUUCAUUAGGAGUAUCUAUAUCAAUGUUACAUAUGUUUUCUUAUCUUCUUAAUGACAGUGUCUGAACUCCAAUAAUUAUACGUGUAGCAGCUGAUUACCAGUAACUUUAAUGAGAUCUGUCUGCUGUGUUUUGUCUCCAGUUCUCCUUUGUCUCCAGUUCUCCAAGUACUUAGAGAUGGAUGUCUAGGACUAGCGGAGAAGAGAACUAACUUUCAGUAUUAUUUAGACACAAUACAAAUGUAAAAUUUGAGCUUAGUUUUAAUCACACAUCUAAGUUUAGGACUUUUAAAGUCAGUAGCUCCCUACAAAAGAUUGUAGAUGUGUCACCUAAGGUAAUAUGGCUUAAGAUCAGCAAAUUACAAGAAUAACUAAGGUGCUUGUCUCUGAUUUGCAUGGACAUUCAGAUAAUGCUUUCAAUUUUUGUCCUUUAUGCUCCUGUAGUAGAAAGGUUAUAAAUCAAUUCCUGUAUGCCAAAAUAUCAUCUCCUUUCACUGUUAGAAAGCACAUAAGCAGUAUUAAAACUUUGCUGAAACUUGAAUGCAUUUCACAUUCAAUUUUUAAAAUAAGAAGUGUAAAUAAUAGGUAAUUUUUGAGUAAAAUAGUUGAUCCCUAACAAAGUCUAAUGAUAGCUUAGUUUGGUCAUAGCCCUUCUUCUAGCAAGAGACAGCUUAAAAAAAAUCAUUCUUAUAGCAUACGCAUAAUUUUAGCUAGGAGGAAUAAAGUUAUGGAGUGAAUCCAUUCAUUUAUUCUGUAUGAGUAUGACGAAGACUAGGAAAGUCUUUAACAGCCUCUCAUCUUACACAGAAAGCUUGCCUUAUCUUUUGGGAUUUUAGUUUGCCAAUAGGAUUCUCUUUGCAGGUAGCUAGCAUUUGAGGUAUUUCCUUUCUACUCAGACUAUUGCUUAUCCUCAUUGAUCAAAUCCCAUCCAUCCAAUAAGAAAGAUUUGUGAAGUAUGUUUAAAAAUAAUAUUUUAAAAAUGAAUGAAGUCUGGAUGCCUCUAAUUUAGGAGUCUCUGUAGAAUCAUUCCAGAUGUUAUUGGAACCCUCAAGAGCAGUAUUUAAAGUUUCUUAAAUUAAUGAAAGCACCAACUCCUACUUAGCCACACAGCUUUGGAAAUUGCAAAUUUAAAAAGAUAACAAGAUCUGUGAUGUAGCGGAGAGACCAAAAUAAUGCAGCCACAUUAUGAGUGCUAAUUUUAGCAUUAUAAUGUUCUUUACCUGUGAUCUGAGCAGAUACCCAUUUUUAAGCAAAAAAAGAGUUUAACUGUCUUAAAAAACAGAUAAAAAUGAAGUCCCCCCCGGAUAAAUAACUGCACCUUUCUGCUUCAGAUGAAGUUGCCAUUCAGCAUUCAGCUCAAGACAUAGAAAGGAGGAUAAAAAAUACCACACAUUUAUGCUGUUCUUCAUGAAAAUAAGUAAUCAGAUGAACUUCAGAUUGAAACAAACAAAAAUCUAGCUUGGAAAAAAACACAUGCUCUUAUUUUGCUUGCCUGUUGGUUCUGCUCUUACUGCAACUGUAAUAGCAUCCCAUCACCACAACAUUCAAGUGUUAUAUAGAAACUACACCCAUGCAAAAAAUCUCCAAUUAGAGUUAUCUGAGAAGAAAAGAUAGAAAUGAAAAUUAUGUAUUCUGAAUGGCUAUUUUUUUUCCUUCAGAUUAUGCAGUCAGAUUUGUGCUUGAAAAGCAAGGUACCAAUGCUCUUGCUUCCUGGCUUUGUGCUACAGGCUCACCACCAACUGGCACAGCCUGCACUGUCCUUUUUGCACCGCUACGUUUUUUUACACAGUUUAACUUUUCAUGAUAGUUGAAAAGAUGAAAAGCUAUUCAUGGAAUAAAUAGCAAUAAAAGCUAGCCAACUCUAGCACCGCAUAAUGGAGUUUUAAUGUAUUCUUCCUGUCGGCAUAGUGCAUUUCUGUGAUAAUUUUAUGUGACAGCAUAAUUAAACAGGAAAACAAUUCCCAUUUCCUAUGUAUUUUAUCUAUUUAUCAUCAUUUAUUUCUUUACUUUCUUGCUCUACUAUAAAUAGUAUUGUAAGGAGAGUUAAAUAAGUUAAACCAAUGCAAUUACUUUUACAGACUGAAAUUAACUUCAUAUAUCAAUUUAUACUGGUUUGCAUACAGCACCUACUAUUUGCCCUGUACAAAUAAAUGCAUUUGUUGCAGUAUAUUUAUAGUGUCACUGUGGUUUCCAUGUUUGCACUCCUUUUGAGUAAUGUUCUGUAUGUUAAAACUCGACAUUUUAACAGUAUUUUCAAACAAUUUCAU